rnacentral:rRNA from 1 species
UACGUAGGGUGCGAGCGUUAAUCGGAAUUACUGGGCGUAAAGCGUGCGCAGGCGGUUUUUUAAGACAGGCGUGAAAUCCCCGGGCUUAACCUGGGAAUGGCAUUUGGGACUGCAAGGCUCGAGUGCGGCAGAGGAGACUGGAAUUCCUGGUGUAGCAGUGAAAUGCGUAGAUAAUCAGGAGGAACACCGAUGGCGAAGGCAGGUCUCUGGGCUGACACUGACGCUCAUGCACGAAAGCGUGGGGAGCAAACAAGG